UCUUGGAAAUAAAAAGAAAAAUCCUACCAGAGUACUACGAAUAGUAAAAAUUUAAAACUCAAAGAGCUUGGCGGUGCUUUAGACUUUUUAGGGGAACCUGUCUUAUAAUCGACAAUCCACGCUAUACCUGACCUUUUCUUGCAUACAAUUUGUAUACCGUCGUCGUCAGGUAACUUUUAAAAAUUUUAAUAGUUAGCAGAAAAGUUUAAUAAUAAACUUAAACGUCAGAUCAAGGUGCAAUUAAUGAAAAGGACAAGAUGGGUUACAAUUAUAAAAUGAUAAUACGAAAAAUCAGUUGAAAUACUAAUUUAAAGGAGGACUUAAAAGUAAAUUAUUCAUAUAUAUAAAUACUAAUUGAAUAAAGCUCUGAAGCGUGC
rnacentral:rRNA from 1 species